GGCGCGGUGGCCAAGUGGUAAGGCGUUGGUCUUGUAAACCAAAAAUCAUGGGUUCGACUCCCAUCUGCGCCU